UACAGAGGUCCCAAGCGUUGUUCGGAUUCACUGGGCGUAAAGGGUGCGUAGGCGGUCGGGUAAGUCUGAUGUGAAAUCUCACAGCUUAACUGUGAAACUGCAUUGGAUACUAUCCGGCUAGAGGAAUGGAGGGGAGACUGGAAUACUUGGUGUAGCAGUGAAAUGCGUAGAUAUCAAGUGGAACACCAGUGGCGAAGGCGGCGUCCUGGCCUGCGACUGACGCUGUGGCGCGAAAGCUAGGGGAGCGAACGGG
rnacentral:rRNA from 1 species